rnacentral:piRNA from 1 species
UUGCCUCAUGUGGCUGUGCUCUACUUCC